GAUGAACGCUGGCGGCGUGCUUAACACAUGCAAGUCGAACGAAGCAUUUGCGACAGAUUUUUUCGGAAUGAAGUUGCUUAUGACUGAGUGGCGGACGGGUGAGUAACGCGUGGGUAACCUGCCUUGUACUGGGGGAUAGCAGCUGGAAACGGCCGGUAAUACCGCAUAAGCGCACAAUGUUGCAUGACAUGGUGUGAAAAACUCCGGUGGUAUAAGAUGGACCCGCGUCUGAUUAGCUAGUUGGUGAGAUAACAGCCCACCAAGGCGACGAUCAGUAGCCGAGAUGAGAGGGUGACCCGCCACAUUGGGACUGAGACACGGCCCAGACUCCUACGGGAGGCAGGAGUGGGGAAUAUUGCACAAUGGAGGAAACUCUGAUGCAGCGACGCCGCGUGAGUGAAGAAGUAAUUCGUUAUGUAAAGCUCUAUCAGCAGGGAAGAUAGUGACGGUACCUGACUAAGAAGCCCCGGCUAACUACGUG
rnacentral:rRNA from 1 species